GUAAGGGAAUCUUCCACAAUGGACGAAAGUCUGAUGGAGCAACGCCGCGUGAGUGAAGAAGGGUUUCGGCUCGUAAAACUCUGUUGUUAAAGAAGAACAUAUCUGAGAGUAACUGUUCAGGUAUUGACGGUAUUUAACCAGAAAGCCACGGCUAACUACGUGCCGG
rnacentral:rRNA from 1 species